rnacentral:rRNA from 1 species
AUACGGAGGGUGCAAGCGUUGUUCGGAAUUAUUGGGCGUAAAGCGCGUGUAGGCGGUCUGUUAAGUCUGGUGUGAAAGCCCUGGGCUCAACCCAGGAAGUGCAUUGGAUACUGGCAGACUUGAGUAUGGGAGAGGAAAGUGGAAUUCCGAGUGUAGGGGUGAAAUCCGUAGAUAUUCGGAGGAACACCAGUGGCGAAGGCGGCUUUCUGGACCAAUACUGACGCUGAGACGCGAAAGCGUGGGGAGCAAACAGGAUUAGAUACCCUAGUAGUCC